UCGUCAGUCUUACUCCAUCAUUUUAAAAAGUAUAGACUAGUUUAUGGAUUUCUAAAGUUAUGUCAAGAUGACUCUGAAUGUAAUAUUGUCAACAAUAAUUGUCAAAACACGCAAUUUAAAAUAUUCAACAUUGUAAUUACAAAAUAGUAUAUUUCUAAUACGCUAUAAUUUUCUCCAAUCGAAAGGCACUCCAUUCCAUUGAUCUCAGAGAGUAUGCUCCUUGAUGAUCUUCACUAUUCAUGGGGUAGGUAAGAUAAAAGUAUUAUUUUUUCUCGUAUAGCUGCUAUAUAGCGUUCGACUCCAUGGAAAAUAAAGGCUCCAAAUUAUAUAAAAAAUGUAGCAUAUAUACAAAGUGCAAUUUAGAUAGUAUUCCAGAAAAAAAUGCGCUAAUGUAAAUGCUGAAAAGUUUCCUAUCGUAUUGUCGAACAAAUUCAUUAUCUACUUCUGAUCUACGCGACCUUAGAAGUUUGGAUUGUCCUACCUAAUCAUUUUACAUUUUAUUGUUUUCAGAACAAGAAUUAUUUUACUUCCCACUGUCUAUGUAAGGGGACUUAGAGCGGAUUCAUACUUUACUAUACGUGUCGUGUCGAAUGAUAGUCCCUAUGUCAGUUUCUCCAAUUCUAUUUUGCGUAGGAUAAGUUAAAAAAAUAAUUAAAAAUAUGUGUUACCGUAUUUUUAUUCGUGAAAUGUUACCUAUAUUUCUAAGUUAAUGAUUGUACUAUACUUCCAAAAAUAUGUCUGACAAACAUUUUACAUGAAAGCCAUUUUUCCACGUAAAAAUCAACUGUUAUAGGGACCAUCUUUUGAAUUUAUGAUAAUUUAUUCAUAUUUUAAUGUAUUCGGGUAAUAUUGCAGGCAUUAUAUCAGCACCAAAUAAAUGCUGUGAACCAGAUAUAUAAAGUGUUUUAAGUGGCGAAUAACGUUUCCAAAUCGCAUUUUCUUUUGACAUAUCUUUCUUUUUUCUUUUUUUUUGCUCUUUUUUUCACGACCGGUUUGGCCUAGUAAGUCGAUGAUCCUGGGUUUGAAUCCCGGUAAGGGCAUUAUUUGUGUGAUGAGCACAGAUAUUUGUUCCUGAGUCAUGGAUGUUUUCUAUGUAUUUAAGUAUUUGUAUAUUAUAUAUUAUUAUGUCGUUGUAUGAGUACCCACAAAACAAGCCUUCUCGGCUUGCCGUGGGACUCAGUCAAUUUGUGUAAGAAUGUCCCUAUAAUAUUUAUUUAUUGUUAUUAUUAUUGUAUGUCCAGUAACAGAACUCCCCACGAGCACUCGGGUGUGUAAGGUCGCUACUCCCCAACUUAUUAUAAUUGUUAUUACUUUCAGCAUUUUUAAGUUGUUCAUCGGACACUGAGGCCAUUGAAGUUUCAAGCUGGCGGCAUCAAAAUGGAGUACCUAGGUACUGUUUCAAAUAAAUGGGUGGUAAGUAAAUACAUUUGGUGAAGUGGAACUGCUGAUGUUGAUCAGAAACGGAACUCUUCCACGCGCGUGAUUUGUCUUCUUUGUUAAGUUUGUAGCGAGUAAGUUUCAAGUACCAUGGUUUUUAGGAACCUUUGUGUCAAGGUAAAGGUCUGACGAUGGGUUCCAUGAGGAAGCGAGGGAACACCUCAAAUCUUAUAGGCAUAUAGUCAUUUUGGAUUUUCAUCAAUACCUUAAGCUUUUUCAUUCCCACUAGUGGCAUUUAAUGAAGUGGAACUACUGAUGUUGACCAAAACGGAACUAUUGAACGCGCGAGAUUUUUCUUCUUUGUUUUUUUUUAUGAUAUAAGAGGCAAACGAGCAGACGUCACACCUGAUGGUAAGCGAUUACCGCCGCCCAUGGACACCUGCUAAACCAUAGGGGUUGUAAGUUCGGUGCUGGCCUUUAAGAUUGGAAUACGCUGUUUUCUUAAAGUUUUAAAUGUCGUAUUGGUCCGGAAAUACCGCAGGCGACAGAUCAUUUCAUAGUUUAGCUGUAUGAGGCAGGAAGUUUCUAGAGAAAUGCACAGUUGAGGACUGCCAACCAUCUAAGUGGUGAAAAUAAAAAUGUUGUAGCGUAGAGCGCUGACGAAAAGAGGCGGCAAGGAUUAAUCCGAGCAAUUCGAUGGAACACUCGCCGUAAUAGAUUUGUCCUGAUAAGUUUGUAGAAAUUAAGGUUGUUAAGAAACAUCUGUGUCUAGAUCCAGGUCUGAUAGAUACCUCAAACCUUAUAGAAAUACAUAUAGUUUUUUUUGGACUUACAUCAAUAACUUUGGGCGUUUUAUUAAAAAAAAGCUACAUUUAAUCAAGUGGAACUGCUGAUGUGUUCCAGAACGGAACUUUUCAACGCACACGUUUUGUAUUCUUUAUUAAGCUUGUAGUGAGUAAGGUUCUUAAGGUGUACUUAAUACAUCAAUGUCCAGUUCUGAUGAUGGGUUUCAUGAAGAAUCGAGGGAAUUCCUAAAAUCUUUUAGGCAUACAUGUAAUAAUUUCUGGGAUUUUAUUCACAUAUCAAGCAUUAUUAUUAAAAAAGUGUCAUUUGACUAAAAGUAACAGCUGAUGUUGACCAGAAUGGAACUCGCCAACUCGCGCGCGAUUUGUUUUAUUAGUUCAGUUUGUAGCAAGUAAGUUUUAAGUAUUAAGGUUUUUAGGAACAUUUGUGUCAAGGUAAAGGUCUGAUGAUGGGUCCCAUGAAGAAUCGAGGGAAUUUCUUAUAUGCUAUAGGCAUAUAUGUAGUACUUAUUGGAUUUUCAUCAACAUAUUAUCAACUUUUAUUCACAAAAGUGACAUUUGAUGAUGUGGAACUACUGAUGUUGACCAGAACGGAACUCCAACGCGUGCAAUUUUUCUUCGUUAAGUUUGUACCAAGUAAGGUUCUUAAGAAACAUUUUUGUCAAAGUACAGUUCUGAUGAUGGGUUUCAUGAAGAAUCGAGGGAAUUCCUAAAAUCUUAUAGGCAUACAUGUAAUAAUUUCUGGGAUUUUAUUUACAUAUCAAGCAUUUUUAUUAAAAAAUUGUCAUUUGACUAAGUGUAACAGCUGAUGUUGACCAGAAUGGAACUCGCCAACUCGCGCGCGAUUUGUUUUAUUAGUUAAGUUUGUAGCAAGUAAGUUUUAAGUACUAAGGUUUUUAGGAACAUUCGUGUCAAGGUAAAGGUCUGAUGAUGGGUCCCAUGAAGAAUCGAGGGAAUUUCUUAAAUGUUAUAGGUAUAUAUAUAGUACUUAUUGGAUUUUCAUCAACAUAUUAUCAAGUUUUAUUCACAAAAGUGACAUUUGAUGAUGUGGAACUACUGAUGUUGACCAAAACGGAACUCCAACGCGCGCAAUUUUUCUUCGUUGUUAAGUUUGUAGCGAGUAAGGUUCUCAAGAACCAUUUUUGUCGAAGUACAGUUCUGAUGAUGUGUUUCAUGAGAAAGCGACGGAACUCCUCAUUCUCCUCAAUUUUUAUAGGUAUAUAGUAAUUUUGGAUUUUCAUCAAUAUCUUUAGCUUUUUUUAUUCACAUUAGUGGCAUUUGAUGAAGUGGAACUAGUGAUGUUGACUAAAACGGAACUCUUCAACGCGUGAGAUUUUAUUCUUUUUUUGUUUGUUGUGAUAUAAGAGGCAAACUAGCAGACAAAUCAACUGAUGGUAAGCAAUUACCGCUGGCCAUGGACAUCUGUUACACCAUAGGGAUUGUAAGUGCGGUGCCGGCAUUUAAGAUAGGAAUACGCUCUUUCCUUAAAGUUUUAAAGAUCGUAUUGGGCCGGAAAUACCGCAUGCGACAGAUCAUUUCAUAGUUUAGCUGUAUGAGGCAGGAAGUUUCUAGAGAAAUGCACAGUUCAGGAUUGCCAACCAUCUAAGUGGUGAAGAUAUAAAUGAUGUAGCGUAAAGCGGUGACGGAAAGAGGCGGCAGAGAUUAAUCCGAACAAUUCCUCGGAACUUUUAAGUUUGUAGAAAGUAAGGUUCUUAAGAAAUAUCUGUACUAGACACCAGUGUCUAGUGUCUAGGUCUGAUGAUGGACACCUCAAACCUUAUAGAAAUACAUAUAGUUUUUUUUUUCAUCAAUAUCUCUAGGUGUUUUGUUUAAAAAAAGUUAUAUUUGAUCAAGUGGAACUGCUGAUGUUGUCCAGAACGGAACUUUUCAACGCACGCGUUUUGUAUUCUUUAUUAAGCUUGUAGCGAGUAACGUUCUCAAGGUGUAUUUAUAUCAAUGUUCAGUUCUGAUGAUGGGUUUCAUAAAUAAUCGAGGGAAUUCCUGACAUCUUAUAAUUUCUGGAUUUUUAUUUACAUAUCAAGCAUUUUUAUUAAAAUGUGACAUUUGACGAAAUGCAACAGCUGAUGCUGGCCAAAAUGAAACUCGCCAAUUCGCGCGCGAUAUGUUUUAUUUGUUUAUUUUGUAGCAAGUAAAGUUCUUGAAGACAUUUGUGUCAUAAGGUCUAGUUCUGAGGAUGGGUUCCAUGAGAAAUCGAAGAAAUUCCUCUAAUCUUAUAGGCAUACAAUACAUACAGUAAUGUUUGGAUUCUCGUCAACAUAUCAAGCUUUUUUAUUUAAACAAGUUAGUGAUAUUGACCAGAACGGAACUCUUCAACGCGCGCGAUUCUUAUUCUUUGUUAAGUUUGUAGCAAGCUAGGUUCUUAGGAAACAUUUGUGUCAAGGUCCAGUUCUGAUGAUGGAUUCAAUGAGGAAUUUUGGAUUUUAAAUCGAUUUGAAUUCACAAUUAGGAGGAAUUGAGCAUUUUCGUCAACAUAUCAAGUUUUUUUUAUUUGAACAAGUGACAUUUGAUGAAGUGAAACUGCUGAUAUUACUGAAACUAUGCUGAAACUGCUGAAAUGGAACUCUUCAACGACAAGUAUUUUACCUUAGGCGUUUUUUUUAUUUUAUUUCGUUUAUAGCAUGUAAGGCUUUUAAGGAACAUUUGUGUCAAGGUCCAGUUCUGAUGAUAGGUUCUACGAGAAACUGAAGGAGCUUCUCAUAUUGUAUAGGAUAGGCAUACAUAUAGUCAUUUUAGGAUUUUCAUCAAUAUUACAAGCAUUUUUACUCAAUAAAGUGACAUUUGUUGAAGUAGAAUUGCUGAUGAAGAACGGAACACCUCAACGACUUCCAGAUUCUUUAUUUUUAUUACUCUUCUUUCUUUUUCAUUAUUCUUAGAACAGGUAUUUCUACGAAGUGAACCGAACUGCUACUAUUAAAAGUAGGUAGGUAGGUAGGUUAAAUAGGUUAAAACUGUAAGGAUUAUUAUGUAUAAGUAGUUUCUUUUAAUUAAACAUAGGUAAGUAAUUCUAUUUAAGUAUAAGUAUCUUUAAAAAAACAUCAAUCGACUCUUAUCUGUCACUAGUUCCAGUUUCAGAGUAUAAAAUCCGGGUACACAGCCACGGCUAGCCGGGUAGCCAGACAGUUCGAAUACGGACAAGUUAUUGUGAAUAAAAAAUCUUAUCGUCUUGCAAAAGUUAAUGUCAUAAAUGUAUAGGUUUCGAAUACAUGAAUAUAAAGUGAAAAUGCUGGUAAAAGUAUUAGUUUUUAUCAUUAACCAUUUUAUAUCCCAACAAAACUGUUACCCUUACAAAAAUAAAAUGCUUUCAUUACCUAAUGUAGGUUACGUUAGGUAAUAAAUAAAUAAAUAUGUAGGGACAAUCUUACACAGAUUGGCCCCAAACUAAUCAAAGCUUGUGCUAUGGGUACUAGGCGACGUUAAACAUACUUAUUUAGAUAAAUAUAUAUUUACGUACAUACAUAGAAAACACGCAAGCCUUAGGAACAAAUAUCUGUAUUCAUCACACAAAGAAAUGACCUUACGCGAUUCAAACUCGGGACCAUCGGCUUCAUAGGCAGGGUCACUACCCACUAGGCCAAACCGGUCGGCAAAAGGUAAAGAUAAUUAGGUAAAGACAAUGAAUAAUUAAACGUAUUAUAAAUUGACACCAAUAUCCAUCAAAUAGUAUAACUAGGUAUGCUAAGAGCGGGCUUCAGGCCAUUACGUCGCACCUUUAGAAUUAAAUUAAUUUGACUCAAAAAGUACGACUACUUUAUAUAUGUAGUUUGGUAGAACAGUAAGAACUCACUAUAUGUGUCUCUUUUUCAUGCGGUGAAAUCCCCCCCACCCGGAAAGGAUAGCGACGCCCAUUUUAUCGACUCUCGAGUCGACUCCAAUCUGAUACUAAUAGUAAAAACCAUACGGAAAUAAUGAGGAUGCAUCGACAUAAGAAGAAUCGAACAUGGGCAUGAUAAAGUUCAAGAAAAAAGCAAAUAUAAUGUGUACUUGUGUGUAGUCAAUGAAAGUUGAAAAAUAAAGCAUAAUUAAUGGCCAUAGAAUACAGAACCGAUACACGAACAUUAAGACUAUUUAAAAUAGACAUAUAGGUUGAUCGUACUACUCGUACUAAUGUAUAUCUUUUGUUCAAUUAUAUUAUUGCAUUAAAGUUAGAUUCUCUAGAUAUAUAUUAUUCAUAGGUUCUGUAUUCUAUACGAAUUGUUUCAGUGUAAUUAUUGUACUAAAUACCGUUGACCGCCUGUCAACAGUAUUUAUUUCUACAUUACUAUCACAGAAGAUUUUAGGCCCUACCGUACAGUUUUUGAAUUAGUAUUUACUAUGGACAAAUAUAGCGAAAUGUGAGUUUUUACCUAAAAUAUCAAUCUUUUGUGAACGUCGUGUAGAGUAUAUACCGCCUAAGACUGAAGUAGCUACGCGGGUUACGUUUUAAAAAUAGAAUCGUGUUCAUGGUCGGCCCAUGGUAAAAAUAAUUAGGUACCCGUAGACCCGCUGGUGAACACUGUUUAUGAUAACACUUAAAUAAAUAAACCCCGUGGACCCACCAGGAGAACAUAUUGGAGAGAUUAGAGAUAAUACACCGCUUUAAGGGCGGUCGCACUCGGCAUUGACAUCUGGCGUCUAGAUGGCGGGUGGACCUCAGCGAAUUUCAAAGAAAUAUUUAUAAACAUCCAAUGACGUUCGGCUCGGACACCAGAUCCAGAUCUAGAUGGCUCGGAUUCCUGUGGAGUCUCCAGGUUCCAUCCUCUCCACGUGUGAGUCCUAGGAUUUUUCGCGCUGCCAGACUCCGAUGACUCGGGCACGUAGUCCAGAUGGGUGAGGAUCGUGCAGCCUGGAGGGCGUACUCUGAAGUUCCAAAUGGCCGAAGACCGUCUAGACGUCCUAGGUAGGUCCCGCUGGAGAGACGAAAUGCAAAAAGACCUUAGGCUACGUACGCACUAAGCGGCUAGCCGCGUGCGGACAGCCGCAUGACGGUUAAGAAUGUAUGAAACCGCAACCAUAAAUACUGAACGCACUAAGCGGUCCGCCGCAACCGCACGCGGCUGGCCGCAUAGUGCGUAUGGGGCCUUAGCGAACUCGGCGCCGUCGACUAGAUGGAAACGGUUUUGGACAGAGAAGCAUGGCGGUCUUUGGUGUCGGAGGCCAAGAUCCACUUCGGGUCGCUGCGCCAUAGCAGUAAGUAUUUAUAAACAUACUGUACCUUCUGUGUACCUAACCCAAAACGAGAUAUUUAAGAAAAAGUCCACCCGCCAUUCUGACGUCAGGAUUGCGGUUGGACCUAUGAAAUCUUGCAUUAUACCGCACUAAAAGUAUGCAGUUAUAUGGUACAGUCGCCAUCAGAUAUAUCGGAGUGGCCGAGGUGCUCAAAGAUCUCUAAACACGCACUCUAACCUCUUGACAGUAGAGGCAUGUUCAGAUAUUCGUGGGUACCUUGGCCGCUCCGAUAUAUAUGAUGGUGACUGUACCUUCAGUGUACCUCUGUAAAUAGAAAUAGAAAACCGGUGUACCUCUCCCCAAAACAAGCUAGGCUAAGCUCAUGCACAAUAUAACUGCAUACUUUUAGUGCGGUAUAAUGCAAGAUUUCAUAGGUCCACCCGCCAUCCUGACGUCAGGUUGGCGGGUGGACCGUUUUGUAAAAUAUCUCGUUUUGGGGAAAGGUACACUGGUUUCUAUUAAAGGUACACUGAGGUACACAGAAGGUACAAUAUGUUUAUAAAUAUUUCUUUGAAAUUCGCUGAGGUCCACCGCCAUCCUGACGCUUACCAUAUAUCUAAGGACCGACCUUAGGGGCAAUAACGAUAGUGCUAGUUCAGUUGUGUCAUUCACAAAUUCGAGCCAAUCGUGCUGUCUAACGCAACUAGAUGCGAUUAAUCGCGUGCGUAAUGCGAACUCAUCAACCAAUCACGUUGUGGUACUUGUGGCGUUAGACUGCACGAUUGGCUCAAACUCGUGUGCGUAACACCGCUGUACUGGCCCCAUUCUUAUUGCCCGUAAGGCCCGUCCUCAGAUAUAUUAUGUCAAUGACACAGUCGCGAUUUUAAAAAAUCACAUCGCUUCUGCUACCAAGUUGUUGAGCAUAACGUUUUCCUAUCCAUAGGUUCCAUCUGUCCAGUAGGAUCCACCAUCUCGAUCCACCAGAUUGAAGAGAUUGUUACUUAACUGAUGGAUCGAGAUAAUGAAACCUACUGAAUAGAGCGGGUCGAUUGGAUAUAACAAAGUACGCUUAUAUGAAACGCUACUCCGGUGUGCGAGUGAGACAGUCAGGCCAAUUUGAACUUGCAUUUGACAGAAAACUGUCUCCAUCAAACGCUACCAGUUCCAUUGCCGGCCUCUUCGCUGCCUUCUAUAGUGGUUCAAUCUUACCUUGCUUAUGAAUAAAAAGGGGCGUGCACACCGAUAUUAGAGUAAUAUUGGAAUCAUAUCAGUUAGUUGCGGGCGUCUCGCUCGCACAAAUACAUGCGUAUAAGUGCGAAAUGAACGCACGAAUGACAGCUAACUGGUAUCAUUCCAAUAUUAUUCUAAAAUUGGUUUAAUGUCAGUUGCACUUUCGAAUUGGCCUACAUAGCGAUUUCCUUAGCCUGCACACCGGAUCGGCGUGUGGGCCGGCAUCUAGCUAAUGUAAAGCCACCUCAUUAGGUGCUUUUAGCCUUUUGAACGGCAAGAACACCUAAAGAUGUGGUGAGAGAAAGCCGCGCGUCCCUCAUGCACUGCACUAGCUUUACAGCUUGCAUUGCGACCAAUGUAUGCCGCUCACCGCCCCGCCGGUCGCGUGGGUCCAAUCCGCGGCCCUAGAAGACGUACUUUACAUAUAAACAAGAGCACGCGAGCAUUUUGCGAGUUAUGUAUGUGUACUUGUGUUAUCUAGGCGCACAAACGGUUACAAUAACAAGAAGUGUACACCGCGUGUGCAGUCCAACACGGGAGCACGGGUGCGAUUCGAAAAUAACGCGCUAGCGACGCAUUACGACAUUGAUGCUUUACCAUUUGAACGCCAUAAACAAAAACGUUACUCACACGCCAAGGUCACGGGCGCAAGUGAGCUUGAAAGUGCAUGAGUAUUACAUUAGGGACUUUGACAGCGAUUAUAACAGCUAUAAUCAUUAAUGUGUUCAUGGCCCUUAAAUCAUGUCUAGUGACGGCGCCUUUAGGUGUUCUUGACGUUCAAAAGGUUAAGGGCGUUUGCUAGCUGGCGCUAGUGCACGGAGCGGGCAAACACGCGCAGGUGCCUUUGUAAGUAAAAUCAGUCGCACGCGUCCGCGCCAGUUAGCGUUGCUGAUACUGUAAGCCGCACGCUCGCUCCAUGCACACGCGCGACGUUGCGGACGCCCUAUGCCCUAAACCUUACUUGAAAGUGUGAAGGUUACUCUGACAGCGGCUAUAUCAGCUAUAAUGUAUUUAUGACGCUUUGAGCAUAGCUAGUUAAGACGCCUUAAGGUAUUCUUGGCGUUUAAAAGGUUAAGGGCGUUUGCUAGCUGGCGCGAGUGCACGGAGCGGGUGCACGCGCGCGGGUGCCUUUGUAGGUAAAAUUCGUUGCACGCGUCCGCGCCAGUUAGCGUCGCCAGUUACUGUUUUUCGUUAACCCGCUCCAGCUAGCAAACUAAUCGCAAAUAGUCCGAGAUUGGCGCAAUAACCAUGCAUUACCUUAUCUGGAUCUGGAUGCACCUAUUCACCAAUGCUUGCUUUAAAGUAACUUGUCGACUCGUCCUGAUAAUAUUUGUGCGACCGUGAAGAAAAUCUAUGCCGUCACUUAUUUUUCAAUUUAUAUGAAAUAAAGAUGUUAAAUGUAUUCAAAAGUUUUUUAUUUAAUAAGGUAUGUAUAAGUGCUCUGUGCAUCCGCACCAGCUAGCGGUGCCCUCAGCAAACCAAUCGCAAAUGGUCCGAGAUUGGCGCAAUAACCAUGCAUUCUCUUAUCUGGAUCUGGAUGCACCUAUUCACUAGAAAAUGUAUGCCGUCAGUUAUUUUUCAAUUUAUAUGAAAUAAAGGUGUUAAAUGUAUUCAAAAGUUUUUAUUUCAUACGUAUAUAUAAUGGAACGAAAUACAGCUACUAUCUUAGCUUGGCAAACAGUUAAAAGUCGCUGAUGCUUGUAAUGUAUUCACUGCGUUAAUUUUAGGUUUAAGAUUUUUUAUUCUCACUAAGAAUUUGACAAUUCACUUACAUGAGAACUUAAAACUACACAAUUUAAUCCUGCUUCAUAUGGCAAACGAAGGGAACGUUGCUUUGAACCGCGACGCAAUCUCAAAUGUUUCACGUUUACACAAUUUUCCUGCAGAGAGACAAAACAAGUAUGUACAUAGUACCUUUUUACGAUUUAUUUUAUCGUAACAUAUAAACUUAGAUUUAUUUUCUUGCUGCUAAUUAUGGUACUCCAUAAAUACAUUUACUUACCUACUUAUUGCUUAGGAAUCUUAUUUCAUGUUUAAUAAUAAGUUUAUAUAACGUUUCUAGCGGUACAUAACGCGAACUUUAAAAAAUAUAAUGCUUUUUCUACCUUUAUCACUCGAAUAUGUAAGAGCAAGAGAGAUAAAUAGACGACACUUACUCGUUCAAGGUAACAACUCGUUUUAUUGUCAAAGUUCCGAAUUAAACAAACUUAUUCUUCGGUGACAUUUUUAAGCGUUUAUAAGCGACUAUACGGAUCCAGCAUUUGCCCCUCAUUCGGUUCUCCUAUUGCACGCAAGAUGUCAGUACUAGAGAGGAUUUGAAAAAUCAUAAUUAAGUAGUUUAGUGCCAUUUAUUGAGCGGUAAUAAUUUAAAAAAAUAUAUAAAUUACUUUUUCAUUAUAUUUCAGGCAUGCAAAGUGAUGUAAAUGAUUACAAAAGUAACUCUAUAUGAAUGACAUUUUUUAGUUCCAGUUUACGCCGCAGCGCAUGAUCAAAAUUAUUAAUAUCAUCUUCCCUGGACACUUUCGGUCUUUGGUGUCAUACAAGUAAUUAAUGCUUAAUUGAAGACCUUCCAAAUAGGAUAUGACUCAAUUGUAUAUACCACUAGUAAAAAUUACCCAAACGGCUACCAAGGCUCCAUCUAGUGCCAGGUAGAACAAACAAAGCGGCAUUUACCACACUUAAUUAACGAAAAAACUAGUUUUAUUACCGCCCCUGCAAGGAUUUGAGUGCAAGUAUAUAUAUAUUAAAAUACCUUAUAAAAAUGUCUUUUAAAUGAUAUAUAUGGCUUGAGUAUACAAGCAAGUUUCAGUGUUUAAUAGCAGUAUUUUUAAUUCAAGCAUAUGUUUUAUCAACUAAUUCCAGCCCUGUACGUACUUAAACGUAAGUAGUGGUAAACAGAAAUCUAGAAUU